CACAGAGGCAGGCAGUCGAGGGCAGAGGAGGCGGCAGAGGAGAGGGAGCCCGGGAGAGGAGAGAGGCCGCGGAGAGGGACGGAGCCAGAGGAAGAGGAGGCGGAGGCGAGCGCCCGGGAACGCGAGGCCCCCCGGACGCCCUCGGACCCCGCACCGUGCGCCCUGGGCGCCCGAAGCCGCGCCGGGCCGAGUCCUUCCCACCCAGAGAGACCAGAAAGCAGAAAUAACCGUGUGUUAUCACGCUCAUCUGGAGAAAUGAACAUGCCUGCAAUCAUUGGGAGAAAGGUCAGUUCUUCUGCUCUUACUGCAGACCUUUCCCAAAGAUCUUGUUUUAAAGGUGCUGAAUCAAUUAGUCUCCCUUGGCAUGAGAUUAAGGCCGGGCAGAAAACAGUUAAAGAAGAUAUGUUUAAAAUGGUCUUCAAAAUGAUACUUUGAAGAAAAGGGUGGAGAGAGGCACAGUAAUGCCUGCCCAGUGUUUCGUGAUUAUUAAUAAGUCAAAAUGCAAACCCAAACAAACACCCCUGCCUAUAUCAAAAAUUCGCCCCCCGCCCCAAGACUGAACUCAGUAUAUAUUGUGGCUGCCCAGCCGUAGAAAGUUCUGCCUUUGUUGAAGUGAAAACAAGGAUGGAAAGGCCAAAGUGGGAGCUGGGCUUCUGCUGGACCGCCUGCUCUGCGCCUGCCCAGGUUGAACCACAGAUCAGUAGGCUUGCAUAUUCACCAUCACUCUGGUAGCCUGGGCAGUUUUUCUUUGUCAAAAAACCCGUUUUACCUUAUAAAAUGGUUUACAUUUCUAUCACAAGCCAGCCAGUUAAAGCACGUGUUUUGGAAAGAGAGAUAAGGGAAGCAGUUCCCCUUUCUGCUUGGACCUCCAGUUAAGAGGGCCAGGAGUAGCCACGGGAGGAUGGCAGGAGAGCUAGUGCUGACCUUUGGAUGCAAAUCAAGCCUUUUAUCGGAGGAAAAGUGACAAUCAUUCCUAGCACACUAGAGAAGCCAAGGCCAAAUAUUUACUUUUUGUAAAAAUCAAGCCUUCGCUAUCUAAAUGCAUUUAUGCAAAAGAAGGAAAGAACUGGAGACUUUUAUGCUACAGAGUGUAUUUCCUUAUUUUAAAUGCUGGACUAGAGUGAAGAAUAAGUGCAUGGUUCUUUUUCCUGGGGGAAAUGGGCCGGAUUUGGAUGAAGAGUUGGAAUUUUGAAAUGAUUUUGAAGCUUGUUAAAGUUCCCUGACAAUACAAUCCACCACACCAUAUAAUAAUUUCUCUUAAUAGUUACCUGUUAGAGCACCUAUUUCUUUUACUGCAGGAUUAGCCCAUGAGAGUAGAUCUGAGUUGGACAUUUACGGAUUAAAGAUUGCUCAAAUAUGUUUAAUUCUUUAAUGUCACUUUUAAAACUAUCUAUAAGAUAAACUGGUGAAAAAGUAUUGACUUACAAAGCCACCA
rnacentral:lncRNA from 1 species